rnacentral:misc_RNA from 1 species
UCUAACUCGUCCGUUCUUCAUCAAGCCGCAGCCAUGGUUGGAAGUGUUAUGGAGGUGUGAUCAUUCUGUAAACAGUGUUGACUUCAAUCAAAGGAAACAUGGCCUCUAUAGCAAGUAGAAGGAAAUGUGUGACGUUCCCGGAUUCAUUCUGCUAUAUUUGUGGGGCAUUCACAGCUCCAAAGCAAAGAAGGAACAUUAGUGAAUUUGUGAAGAGAGCUUACUUUUCCUACUUUAAAGUGAAACUUGGAGAUCAAGACAAACCAUGGGCACCGCAUAAGGAUGGAGUGUGGUUCGACUUCUGGCCAGGAUGAUGAAUGUGAUUAUGUAUUUAGAGACUAGUAUUGCGGGACUUGAAGAUUUGCUCGGACUUGAGACACGACCAUGCAUAGAUCAUGAUCUCAGUAUAGUGGGACUUGAAGAUUUGCUCAGACUUCAGACACGAUGCUUAGCUGAAUGUGCUAAAUACUGAGGGUGAAGAUUCGUCGCUAAACUUCCGACUUCCAACAUAGGAAUACUGUACAUAAUCAUGCUGACUGGUGUCCAUUGAUAACCCUUGGAUUAUUUAUUCCACCUUUCAAGUUUGGUAAGUGGUGAUCACUUCCAUUCUUUCAUAAAUAGUGAUGCUACAACUGCAACAUUGCCAUUUGAAGUUACCACUGAGGGUGUAGGAACACAUUUCUGCGACUACCUCCUGUACUACAAAUAUGUUAAACCUUCAUAUGAAAAAAAAAAUCUUGCAAGCUGGCAAUUUGAAAGGGGAAAAAAUCUUGCCCUUAGU